UCUGUCGAAGCCGAAGUUUGGUUUCAGUUGCUGUUUGGAGAUUCUAUCGCCAUCAUGUCACAGGAAGUUGAAGAAAUGGAAACUGAAAGCUCUGUGAGUAACAGAAUAACUUACAGUAUUCAUUCAUGAUUAACAUAUAAUAAAAUAUAACCUAUAGGCUUCCAGUUUAACCCAGUUGGAUUUGGAUCAAUUAAGAAAGUGGGAUUUAAUUUACCUCUACCUUGUUUACUAGCUAAUGUAGGUAUUAUUAUUAUUAUUAUUAUUAUUAUUAUUAUUAUUAUUAUACACAACUUAGCAUUGUGUGUUAUAGAUCCUACAACCCACAUUGUAGGUUCUAUGACAAAUACCUAAAUGUUUAGGUCACAAGCACUUGACAGCUAAUGUUGUCUGAUUUAAAGCAACUUUAAACAUUCCAGUUUAAAUACAGCAUAUCAAAAAGAACUAGAUCACACUAAUACCAAUCACAGAGAAAAUCAUGAUAGACAUUUUAAUCACAAAAAGUGAUGAGGUUUACAAUACAAGAGCUUUACAAACAUACUGUAUAAAGUUAUUUAGGCAGAAAUUUUAAUUAGACAAUAAGAUCUUUGUUGGUACAAUGAAAACAUGUUGAUAAAAACAAAGGGUGUCUGAAUUACACUCUUAAUAUAGGUACACAAUUAAAAAACAUUACAUUUUCACAACCAAAUAAAUCUCUCGUAACUUUGAGCUCCCUUUAAAAAUCAAAAUAGGUUUAAUAUAUACUGACAAAGGUUAUUGUUGGUUUGUGGCAUAUAAGAAUAAAUUAUUAUGGCUAUUAUUCAUAUUAUUGAUAUUAAUAUUAGGAACUACAUCAGGCCACUCCUUCUCCCCAUCCUUCACACAGUGAUGAUCCUCAGUUAAUGGACAUUUCUAACGAUCAGGACUAUACAGCAGGCAUUGGAGGUCAAGACUCUAGCCCUCCUUGGGAUGACAUGAAGAACACAACGGGUCAAACACACUUACAGCCAGAGAACUUACAGGCAAGCAGUCGUAAAGGUCAAGACUCUGGAUCACCUCUGGAUAAACAGGAGCAUCAAGACAUCACACAAGACACAACGGACAUUUUUAAAAAUGGUGGUGUAAAAACCAAACCAGUGGAUACUGCUACAUUUAAAAUCAAAGUGGACUGGACAGAAUCGUUUCCAGAGAAGUGGGGAAAACAGUUAGAGAUGGCCCUUCAGAGCUGGUUUAUCAAACAGAUAAAACAAGUAAAAGUAUCUGUCAUCAGCAUUAAACUCAUGGAGGAUCAAUCAUGGGCAGAGGUGGAGAUAGAACCAUCAGCAGCUCUAGAAACUAUACAAAGGCACAGGUCUGUAUCUUUGGAUUUUAAAAAUGAAAAUAAGAAAGUGACCGGACAGAUUCAUCUGGAUGAUUCUGUGACUGUAUCACGAAACACCUCCAAGUCGGACAAGAACAGAAUUUCAUCAUCAGAGGUAUUAUGUUUACUUUUUUAGGUUCUGAUGGCUGAGAGAAAUAGGGUAGGAUCUAGAAAAUUAUUUUACCCCCUGCAGUCACUAAUUUAAUCCAUUAAAACUAAUCUUUGAACAAAAUUGAACAUAUUUCUUCUGUAUUUGCCUCUUUAAAUGCAUAUUGCUCUCCAUUCCCUGUCUUCCUGAAGCCACUGGGUGCCGGUGAGCCUGGGUGCGAGGUCCCUUUCAAUGCUGCUUGCAGCUUUAAUUAUUAUUAAGAAUUAUUAGUAUUAGUAUUAGUAUUAUUUCCCCAGUUUUAAUAUAGCUGUUAGCUGUCUUUAUUAUAUUGGCUGAAUGCACAUGAUGGCAAACAAAAUCAGUGAUGAGAAUUUUAAAUAUAGUUGAUAUUUUGGUGGCCAUAAUUGCUUUUAUGAAAUGUCACAAAUCUAAAUUAAUAUUGUGUGUUAAUGCAAUAGGCUUGCUUCAUGUGUGUAAGGACAGUUUAUAGAAAAAAAACAUGUUUUCUCGCCAUUAUUUUGGCAUUAUUUAUAUCAUCAAAUUGUACUGCUGCUGCUGCUGAAAAACAGUCGAGGACAUUCCGCUUACAUAUAUAUUUUGUACACUGGGAUACAAAAUACUUAGGUGGCAGAUGAGGAUGGCAAUGCUUUUUUCUUAGGGUCACAAACCAUGUCACCCCAGUAGAUUACUCCCUGGAGAGAACUCGAAAUAAGCAAAAACUAUGGCCUUACCUGCCAGAGUACACACUUAUCUUUUUUAAGCUCUUCCUAUUCAGCCAUUUAGUAUAUUAGUCAUAAUGGUAACAUCAGAUUUAUGACUUAUGUAACAAUAAUUUGGCAUUUUAGUUCACUUAUGUUAAAUAUUUCUGUGGGCAACCAAUCCUUAAAUGAAAUCCUAUGAAAUGUUCCUAGAUUAAGAAUGCCACGCAUGUGACUUAUGCAGCAUCAGAUGACACAAUCAAUGGUGAAGAUGUUCCAGCUAAUAUUGCUCCAAAUGAAGCUG
rnacentral:lncRNA from 1 species